CCAAAUCAAAUCAAUUCA
rnacentral:miRNA from 1 species